GUGUGUGUGUGUUUGGGGGGGGGGGGAUUGGGAUUGUGAGAAUAUGCGUUCUGGGUGCCUUUUGAGUUUCUUGGUUGACUGACCCCUCCUGUGUCGGGCUUUAUUCCCUGUCUUACCUUUGACACUGCAAUUACCUUGCGAAGAUAAAUGUUUGUUUGCUACAAAUACUGUGAUAUUCUUAGUGAUAAUGGAACAAGAUUGAUUAGCGUAUCUUUUGGUGUUUGUGUCUGCGAAAAAUUAGUACACCUACUCAUAUUGUUGUCCUUUGGCUGAAGAUGUCUCUUUUUUUUUUUCCUGCAAGUUGAAGCUUCCUUGAGACUGCUUGUGUAACAUGCAGGUUCUCAACUGGCACUGCUCUCUGUUUCUCUUGUAUCUUGUGCUGUUAUAUUCAUCCACAUGCUUAUGUUCUUACCACUACAAGAGGAGGCUGUAUUUAGGGGGACGGUGUAAGCCUAAUCUAAUAAUGUUAUUUGGUGCUUUGGUAUUUGUUAUAUUAUUUUUGCAGUCUGCUUCUACAUUUUUGUUUGUUCGUUAUAACACCAAUAAAAGGAGUCUGCAUUAAUAUCUGCUAUAGAAGGGUUGAGCCAUAACAAAUGAGAAGCUAUCCAACUUUUGUAAUGAUGCGUCGGGCUUUUUUCCAGUUCUGAGGUUGUUGAUUAUUUUGCUCCCAUUGUAAGUCUUUCUGGCUUCUAGAAGGAAGUUGUCUUGUCUCUUAUACGUGAUGCUUUGGUCACCUUUGUUCUUUUCAUUUGGUGGUGUUCUCCCGCAUUGUAGAUGGUAGAAUCUUCGGGCUCCUUUUACCUCAAUUAGUAUAGCUGAUUCUCUCUCCUCUUGCACUUAAGGUAUCCUUUUCUUUCUAUAUUUAGCAAUCACAAAUUAACAGAAUUCCUUGGCAAUGAAAAAUAAAGCUAAUUUCUCUCUCCUCUUUCCCUUGACGUAUCUAGUUAUUACUUUCCAUAUUUAGCAAUCAAGAAUGCAAGAAUUCUCUGCACUUUCAGGGAUGUGGCUUUUACGUACUGUCAAGUUUAAAGGUUUAUAGUGUUCAUCCCGCAUUUUCUUUGAAUUCUGUUUAGGUCUGAGAUGCUCCAUUUGAAUGCAUAUGAUGACAUACAGUUCCUUCUGGGAUACGGGUUCUUAUCCUCCUUUAUUCCAUUUAUCCUCCUUUAUUCCAUGAUUUUCUCUACGUGAAAAAGGUGUUAGAUUUUGGUUUGCACACAGCUUGCUUAGGUCUUCUAUUUACAGAUUAGCAGUCUUAUGUGCUUUGACAUCUUUUUUAGAUUCAUGUUCUUCUGUGUGUUUGUCAUCAGUUUUCCAAGUAGUUGCUUUAUAAAUAGAGUUGGUGUCCGGAGCUGCUUUCUUCAUUUGGUUUCAGGUGUUGUGUGAUGCCAUCUUUCCUAGUUGAUCAAUAUUGAUAUUGCUUUUCUUUUUUCUGUGUUUGUCUAUUAUUUUUCAGGUUUUGAUCUUGUGCGGUGUGGUGUUUGGUCGGUAUUGUCUUGGUUGUUGUUAGAAUUGGACUUUGAUGAUAUAUAUGCUAGUAUUUGCACUGGGUACGAGUUCUUGGAAUGUUCCUUUCCAUGGAGAAAAUCAGUUUUGCAUGUUUCUUUGUUGCUUCCAUUACUGGUUGUCCGAAGUGUAUAUGUCCUUGAUUUUGUUAGGAGGAAAUUAUCUCCUUUUGAUCUGAGGAGUUAUUAGGUAAUUUUAUUGUCUUUUAUGUUUGUCCUUGGAUUAUUGGUAGAGCUGCAUUUUGUUUUGUUGCUCAGUGUCAUUGUUUUGGCACACUUGAUGCAUUGUUUUUGUGUGAAACCCUUGUAACUCCGCCUGUCAAGUCACAGCCGGUCCCAAGCCCGGAAAAAGGAGGAGGGCAAGUAUCAAUUUUGAGGAGGUAGUCAUUAGUUUCUUCCUCCUCUCUGAUUUGUGAAUUUCUUGCUUAUUGAAGUAGCCAAGGUCUUCGAUAUUUGCCCUAAGAACCCCUGUAACACUAUUCUUGUUGUUGAAGAAGUCAGGUCAACCCAAGUAUAUGUUGUUCUUAAUAACAAAGACUAGAGUUCCUCUCCAAAACUAAAACCCUAAUAUGGAGUCCUUUUCUAUAUCCCAAGUCAGCAUUUAGUGGUGCAUUCAACGAUGACAUCAGCAACAACCCAAAUUCCUACAUAACAAAUGCCACCUAUUUUGCUGUAAUGUACUGUGAAGAUAUUGGUGAAGGUCUAUUGGAAACAACCUCUCUGCCUACACAAGGUACCUGUAACACUCCUUGAGUAUUCCAUCAAUGCAGUCACACAAGGUAUAGACUCUAUAGCUUCAACCGGAGUCAUAAUUCGUGGAGAGAAUGGGUCAUACAUGCAUUUUGUGCAGGUACCUCUUUCUCUGAUAGAACCUCGGGAGUCGGUAACAUGGAGAGAGAGGGAGGGGGGCAUGCAGGUGUAGGUUGACACAACAAAUUUUGGAACUGAGGACAUGAUAGCAAUGUGAAAUGAGCAAAAUGUAUAACUUUUCGAUAAAGCUAACUGUGUAGAGCUCAGAUUUUGGUUCAACACCUGAAUAGAUAAUUGCUGUAUGAGUACUAUGAUAGAAUAUAAGCUUGGAUAUUUAAAUGGAAAAUAUUUGUAUAGCAUGAGUAUAUGAGCUGAAGCAUAA